rnacentral:snRNA from 1 species
UCCCAUACUUGGCAGGGGAGAUACCACGAGGCUUAUCCAUUUCACUCUGAAUGUGCUGACUCCUGCAAUUUCCCCAAACGUGAGAAACUCGACUACAUAAUUUGUGAUAAGGGGGGGACUGCAUUUGCGUUCUCCCCCA